UACGUAGGGUGCGAGCGUUAAUCGGAAUUACUGGGCGUAAAGCGUGCGCAGGCGGUUGUGCAAGACAGAUGUGAAAUCCCCUGGCUUAACCUGGGAACUGCAUUUGUGACUGCACGGCUAGAGUGUGUCAGAGGGGGGUAGAAUUCCACGUGUAGCAGUGAAAUGCGUAGAUAUGUGGAGGAAUACCGAUGGCGAAGGCAGCCCCCUGGGAUAACACUGACGCUCAUGCACGAAAGCGUGGGGAGCAAACAGG
rnacentral:rRNA from 1 species